UAGAUGCGAGAGUAGAGCAUAUCAAUAAGCGGAGGAAAAGAAACUAACUAAGGAUUCCCUCAGUAACGGCGAGUGAAGCGGGAAGAGCUCAAAUUUGAAAUCUUCAAGGUUCUACCUUGACGAAUUGUAGUUUAUAGAAGUGUUUUCUGUUAGUAGGAGUGGCAAAAGUUCUUUGGAAUAGGACAUCAUAGAGGGUGAGAAUCCCGUAUUUGGUCAUUCCUCCUAGCGUUGUGAUACACUUUCAACGAGUCGGAUUGUUUGGGAAUGCAGUCCAAAAUGGGUGGUAAAUUUCAUCUAAAGCUAAAUAUUGGCGAGAGACCGAUAGCGAACAAGUACCGUGAGGGAAAGAUGAAAAGAACUUUGAAAAGAGAGUUAAACAGUACGUGAAAUUGUCAAAAGGGAAGCGUUUGACACCAGUGUUGUUUUUCCGAAAAUCAAUUACGAAUGUUUUGUUUUUGAGGAGUUAUGACUUCAUCGGCUUGCUCCUUUCUUUAUGAAACUUUCUUAAUGCACUUUUCGGUUAACAAGUCAACAUCAAUUUCUUUUGUUGUAAAAGGGUAUGAGGAAGGUGGCUUUCUUUUCGGAGAAAGUGUUUAUAGCCUUGUGCCUCUGCAAUCGGAGAGAUUGAGGACAGCAGCGUAGACUCCUUCGGGGGUUAGAUACACUUGUGCUAAGCUAUAGCCUUGUAUAGACAACUUGUUGACUAUGCUCAGUCAUGUAGCUUACUCGCUUGUGCUAUUUUACCUACGCUUAGGAUGUUGACACACGCGCGUGCUCG
rnacentral:rRNA from 1 species